rnacentral:rRNA from 1 species
AACGAACGCUGGCGGCAUGCCUAACACAUGCAAGUCGAACGAGACCUUCGGGUCUAGUGGCGCACGGGUGCGUAACGCGUGGGAAUCUGCCCUUGGGUUCGGAAUAACAGUUGGAAACGACUGCUAAUACCGGAUGAUGACGUAAGUCCAAAGAUCUAUCGCCCAAGGAUGAGCCCGCGUAGGAUUAGCUAGUUGGUGAGGUAAAGGCUCACCAAGGCGACGAUCCUUAGCUGGUCUGAGAGGAUGAUCAGCCACACUGGGACUGAGACACGGCCCAGACUCCUACGGGAGGCAGCAGUGGGGAAUAUUGGACAAUGGGCGAAAGCCUGAUCCAGCAAUGCCGCGUGAGUGAUGAAGGCCUUAGGGUUGUAAAGCUCUUUUACCCGGGAUGAUAAUGACAGUACCGGGAGAAUAAGCUCCGGCUAACUCCGUG